rnacentral:rRNA from 1 species
CCUACGGGAGGCAGCAGUGGGGAAUCUUGCGCAAUGGGCGGAAGCCUGACGCAGCAACGCCGCGUGCGGGAAGAAGGCCUUAGGGUCGUAAACCGCUUUCAGGGGGGACGAAGCUUCCGGGGUUAAUAGCCUACGGGGUGACGGUACUCCCAAAAGAAGGUCCGGCUAACUACGUGCCAGCAGCCGCGGUAAUACGUAGGGACCGAGCGUUGUCCGGAAUCAUUGGGCGUAAAGAGCGUGUAGGCGGCUUGGUAGGUCUCGUGUGAAAUCCCGCGGCUCAACCGCGGAUCCGCACGGGAAACCCCUAAGCUCGAGUCCGGAAGAGGAGAGUGGAAUUCCUGGUGUAGCGGUGAAAUGCGCAGAUAUCAGGAAGAACACCCGUAGCGAAGGCGGCUCUCUGGGACGGUACUGACGCUGAGACGCGAAAGCGUGGGGAGCAAACAGGAUUAGAUACCCUGGUAGUCCACGCCGUAAACGAUGGGCGCUAGGUGUGGGAGGUGUCGACUCCUCCCGUGCCGAAGCUAACGCAUUAAGCGCCCCGCCUGGGGAGGUACGGCCGCGACGACGUAAACGUACGAAAGAAGUAGACGGCGUGUAGACGUUGCCGACGGACGACGACGAGGGAGGAGG